AUAAGGAGCAACCUGGAAGAUUGCGCAGCCGCAGCUGGGCCAGGCCUGCUGGCGCUGAGCAUGCCAAGCUCCAGGAUGUUAUGGGAGUGAAAGAGUAGGAAAUCGAAAGCACUGACAGAACCAGAUGGCUCAUCUCCCCUCUCCAGCUCAGGGAUGCUCCUGGCCUCUGGGUCGCGGGGUCACUGUGCUCCACCCUGACUGCUGUCAGAGGCCAGAGAGCCUUACAGUUGUUGACAAAUGAGGUCCUCACCACAUAGCUUGGGACACAACAGUCCCGCUCUUCAAGGCGCUUUCUGGGAAAAGCUUCCCUCAGAGAAUGUUCUGGAGUCCUUUUAUGAGGGACCGGUCUCUUGCAUUCAGACUUCCUCGUUGAGGCUAUUGCAUGACACCACUCCCCACUCCCCCACCCCCACCAUCCUCACUGCUUUCCUGACCAGGGAAUCUUUGAGAACGAGGUGCCUCCCAGCUGCAGCUUCAACAAGCAGAGAACCCUAAAUUGGAUACCAUGCUGAGAUAGAGAACACCUUGGAUAGUUCCUGCCCCAGAGAGAUAACAGUUGGCCUCAGGAUCUGAAAGUGGCACCUAGAGGUGGCUCAGCCGUAUGUCUACAACCACAAACUUGGCAGGCUCCGUGCCAAGCCUCAAGCGUGGAGUCUGACUCGGAUGGCCUCAGUACUAGCUCUGCACCCAGAUAUGUGACAGCAGCAGCAGGUCCGGACAGAGCCCACACCGGCUGAGGAUCACGGAGGGACUCGGUUUGGCUAUGUGAGCUAUGACUCCAGUCUACAGAGUAGGAAAAGCAGAGGGGUCAAGCAGGGGGUAGGAGGGUACAAGGAGAAGUCCUGGGCCCACGCUGCACAACACAAACAGAAGGAUGAAAAGUCACUUACACUAAUCAGUGUUUCCAUAGCGUUUGCUCAACCAGUGUACUAAGUGGAAGCUGAAAACCAGGAAAACAUUGGAACCACGGCGAGAAGGAGGACUGCUUAUGGUGUCUGAGCAAGGUAUAAAAUCUAACCUUGUUCUUGUAAGUGCCUGCUCAACCGAAUCCACUGCAAGUUAAUCCAAGGGUAUCAGGCAGGUGAGAUGAACUGGCUCCUUCUUAGGUAUCCGAGGAUGCUGAGAACUGGGACGGCUAGCAAGGACCCGGAGCUGUGUGUGCUGGGCCCAGAGCUGUGUGAGCUAAGCCUGGAGCUGUGUGAGCUAGACUGGGAAUGGCUUUGGUCCUAUUCCCUGCUGCAGCUAGUCCUGUGUGACUGAGGGAGCCAGCGGGGCUGAUACCAAGUUAAGUGGCAAUAAAGUGAUUCUCACGGUGCUGA